rnacentral:lncRNA from 1 species
AAUCUGGAUAUAUCUGAGUUUAAACUACAAGAUUAAGGACUGCUUAGUAGAAAAUAGGGUCUAUAAGCAAUAGUCCUGGAUGGGAAUGAGCAGUAGAAGUGUCUAUAUGAAACAAUCUCCUUUCUUUUGUUCUUAAAUAUUACAGAUCACUGGGGAAAGCUUCCAGAAGGGAAGGAUAACAGAAGCUUUGAUGUCAACUAAGAGAAUAGGCUUAGGUCAGCUAUGAAGUCUAAAGGAGGACCAAUAUAGACCUAAGAAACUUGGGUUUAGGCCCAGUUGUUGUUCAGAAUGGCUCUGUGGCAGGGGAAAGGGAGUAUAUCAGAGGAGGUCCCUAUCCAGGAGAAUUCAAAGGAGACAGACUUUGAAGGACCACCUAGGAGUCCCAGAAGCAUGGCAGAGAGUACUCACACCAACCUGUGCCUGAAUGUGCGACCCUUGAUGGAGAAGAUGAUCCGCCUGAAGGAGCAGAGCCUCAGCUGGAAGGUGGCCACUCAAGCGUUCUCCAACGGGCAGCUGCACGUGCCCCGGAGAGCAGCUCCCCAGACCUCGGGAGAAGGGAAUGCCUCCAGUUGCUGGUGGUGGGGCAGAUUCUUCAAGAUGGGGGCACCCCGAGUACCCCGGAGGAAAAAAGCUAAGAAAUACCGCCGCCAGGGCAAGCAAGGGAAGAAGGAGAGAGGUCCAUGGGUCCACCCUUCCUUCCGGAGAUUCUUCAGGAUGCUCAGCAUCUGGAGGCGAGGCUAUUCGGAGUGUUCGGACGAAGGGGAGAAAUUGGAGGAGAUCCCCCUCCUGGUGCUGGAUGGGUCCAGUGAUAAGGAUUAGGAAGCUAUUCUCUCUCUCUUCCUGGCACUGCAAAGGAGAGCCGGCUCUUCUCUGUCCACGUAGAUGUCCCUGGUGGGAAUGGCCUCUCGUUGGCUCGGACAAAGCUUUCCUUUCUGAGUUUUUUGUAAUUUAGGUUGGUGGAGAGAGAAAUGAAAACAAUAAAUGAUACCAAACAAAUAACCAUUGAGCCUUUUUGGGAGGAUGGUCCUACUGAGUUAAAAGAUCUCAAUUUUGAGGUAUCUAAU